ensembl:lncRNA novel transcript
ACGCAAGUACGCAUGCGCCUCCCCAGCUGCCGCUGGGAAGAGCGCGCUCCCCAGGGCCCCGCCCCCUCCAAGGAUUUCCGGGGAGGCGGGUUCCACUGCUGACUUACCGGUUUUACUCCUCUGCUCAAAAGGCGCCUGCCCGAGGCCGCUUUCCGUUGCAAAGGUUCCUGAAUUUGGGGAGGAAGAGCAGCAAGACUGAAAUAUUGGGCAUACGUUUGUUGCUUCAUAAACGUUUGCUGAAUGAAUAAACUGAUACGCCGAUGUUUGCUUUAAUUGUAACUCCCCCUGCCGCAGUUCCCAGUCUUUGAAAAUUACAACAGCAACAUAGUUUUGGGCGUGUCCUUGACAAAUGUGUUUCAUUCCCCAGGUAGUACCGUGCAAGUGAACUUGGUGAGAAUUUUUUCAAGGAAAUUUUUGCCAGCAUCGAUUUUUGAAACUUAGUUUUUACCAUGCUCUUUAAAAAAAUAAACACUUGGUUUGUUCAAAUACC